CAGCAGUCCUGUGCGCUCAUUAUGCUGAGCUGCAGUCUUGAAAAUUCAGUAGCUUCCUUGGUGUCUUGCUCUGCUUCCAUGGAAAUACCGGGCUGCAAAGAGUAUUUUUCUUUCCAGGCUGUGUUUUUUUCUGCUCCAUUGUCUAAGAAUGAGGCAGAGGGAGAAGCACUGAGCCUGAAUUCCAAGUUAGCUACUGCUUCUGUAAAAUUCCUAAAAGGAAACUCUGAAGGCAGUUGUUUGAAAAGAUGCUUCCACAGAACAAAGCUGCAUUUGAGAACAGGUCUGAGUUGUUCUGCAGUUUGCUUCAAAUAUUGAAGAUCGUGCCUUGAAUUUUAAAAUUUCUCGCAAACCUGGCCACAGCAAAAGAAACGGGUUAGAAGUAUCUGCAUUUGAAGAUUCCUAAAGCUUCGUCUUUUUUUUUACAUGGCUUAAGCAAACUACAGCCAGCAAAAGCUCACGCAAUACUUCUUGAAUGUAGUUCUGAAUGUUUGCUGUAACUGGCGUACUCAAAUGUAUAGCUCCAAGUGUCCUUUCUGCUUUUCAUGUACUCCUAAUGAAGAGCCUUAAAAGUUGUAGGCUUUAAUUUCUGCCAGUAGUCUUGGCUCACACGCAAUGUGAAAAUAUUCACGCCCAUAUUUUGAAGCACUGUUGUCUUGAUGUGUUUUCUCCAUAUGGUUGAAGAGGCUUAAAAUAAAACUACUAUAAAAACGCUCCCUACA
rnacentral:lncRNA from 1 species